rnacentral:rRNA from 1 species
GAUGAACGCUGGCGGCGUGCCUAAUACAUGCAAGUAGAACGCUGAAGGAGGAGCUUGCUCUUUCCGGAUGAGUUGCGAACGGGUGAGUAACGCGUAGGUAACCUGCCUGGUAGCGGGGGAUAACUAUUGGAAACGAUAGCUAAUACCGCAUAACAGUAGAUAUUGCAUGAUAUUUGCUUGAAAGGGGCAAUUGCUCCACUACCAGAUGGACCUGCGUUGUAUUAGCUAGUUGGUGAGGUAACGGCCCACCAAGGCGACGAUACAUAGCCGACCUGAGAGGGUGAUCGGCCACACUGGGACUGGGACACGGCCCAGACUCCUACGGGAGGCAGCAGUAGGGAAUCUUCGGCAAUGGACGGAAGUCUGACCGAGCAACGCCGCGUGAGUGAAGAAGGGUUUCGGAUCGUAAAGCUCUGUUGUAAGAGAAGAACGAGUGUGAGAGUGGAAAGUUCACACUGUGACGGUAUCUUACCAGAAAGGGACGGCUAACUACGUG